ensembl:lncRNA
AGAAAGAAAAGAAAUAAUUACUUUUAUUCUGCAUUCAGUUGAUCAAAAGUGACAUUAAAGACAUUUAUAAUAUUACAAAAUAUUUAUUUUCAAAUAAAUGCCUUUCUUUUGAGCUAUCUAUUCAUCAACGAAUCAUGAAAAAAAAAGUAUUAUGUUUUCCACAAAAAAUAAAUAAAUAAUUAAAUAACCGUUUUCAAUAUUAUUUAUAAUAAGAAUCACUAUUAAUAUUUGAGCACCAAUAGUAAAUAGUAUUAGUAGUAAAUGCAGAGAGACUUCUUUCAAAAACUUUAAAUAAUCUUUUAAUUAUUCCAAACUUUUGUCCGGUAGUGUCAUAUAUAUGUAUAUAAAUAUGGUACGUGGUUCUGGCUUUUCUUUUUUGAUGUUAAAAUAUGUUCAGAGUUAAUAUAGCAACCAAAACAAACAACAGCCAACCAGGAUCUGUGAAGCACCUUGCACUUGCACAUGAUUUAGCCGUGUAUGAAAUGAUAAGGCUAUGCUAAUGUGUAGGUGAAUAUGACUGACAGGUGAACGUCCAGGUCAUGUUUACCCCAAAAUUAAAAGAAAUAAGACACUGUUUUAUCUUGUUUGUUUUUUUCUCAUUACCAUAAUGCAAAUAAUAAUAAUAGAUUCUCAUUAUUGUAAUAUAUUUGAACUGUAAAGCAUUUAAAUAUGCUGAUUUAAAUCAUUUUACUUACUGUAAUACAAUAAAAAAAAAAAUACUGUUCAUUAGAAUCGAAUAUGAGAUUUAUUAUUUAGGAUAAUAAGCUUGAGAACAAUGUGGAAAACGUGUUUAAUAUUCAUUAAAAUAAUCUCGCUUCGCAAACGUGCAAAAUAUUCCUAAAUAGACCGUUGAUGCAAAACAGUUUCUUUUUAUUUUGGGUCGAGUUUGACUCGGACGUGUGUUUUUUUUUUUUUUGUGAGAUUCACCUCUAUAUUUGGAAAUGUUUAUUUUCUAUAUGGUUUAUCUGAGUGUUGUUAUGAACCCAUAUGUGUUUGAGUUCUCAGAACCACCUUGGAGGAAGUUCUCCAGGGUUCAGGACUUUGUUUUUGCUGCUAAAACUCAAGGCGCAUUCAGGCCACACAGUAGUUUAUUGGUCUUGGCAGCUCAGAUUGUUGGCUGACGAUGUUUAGUUCCUCUUCCUCCCCUCCUUGUUUUUCAGAAACAUGUCAGAUUUCCACAAUGUACACAGCAAACAUGCAUUAAUUUGAUUCAUUUUAAAUUGUAUAACCACUUGAUUUGUAUGUAGGGUUGGUGCCAGUUGUUUAACAGUGCUCUUUGUCCUUUUUUUUUUUUUUGUUCCAGUCACAUGUAACUGCUGUAAGUUAACUAAGAUAUAUUUAUAAUUUUCAUUGGUUGUAACUUGUAUGUAAAUAUGAAGAUGCU